UAUGAAGUCACUGUGUCACUGUUGCAGGAAAAGAGCAAUUAGGCUGGGUUUUUUACCACUACAAAUUGAGUUAUUGCUUCUUCUUUCUGGGAAUCAGUUGGGGAUGAAUUUGAAAUGGAGAUAGAAUGAAGCUCCAACUUUAGGGCUUCCCAUAUCUGAGUCUUUAUCAUAAGAGAAUUAGGUAGGUUCUAAAGUUCCUGUAAAGCAAGAACAAAUCCUAACCCAGUUACGUCUCUUCAGAAAGGUGAAUGGAUAACUACUAGAGGCUGUAUUUUAUAGAGUAUGUAUUUAAUUUUAUAAAACAACAGUCUUGACAGCCAGAGAGUGAACAAGUUUUUUGAAACAGACAUACAGCUUUCAGAUAGCAAGGAAUUGCAGUUUCUGUCUUGAGGCAGAAGUAGGUAUUAACCAUUAAAAUAUACAGCAGAUAUAAUAACCAAUGUAUUAAAAAUUCUUAAAACAUAAAGUUUUAAGUUUGAGUUGGGUUUAGGUUUGAGUCUCUUCAACCUUUUUUUUUUUUUUUUUUUUUUUUUUUUU